rnacentral:rRNA from 1 species
AUUGAACGCUGGCGGCAGGCCUAACACAUGCAAGUCGAACGAGUGGCGGACGGGUGAGUAAUGUCUGGGAAACUGCCUGAUGGAGGGGGAUAACUACUGGAAACGGUAGCUAAUACCGCAUACCAGCGGAUGUGCCCAGUUGGGAUUAGCUAGUAGGUGGGGUAAAGGCUCACCUAGGCGACGAUCCCUAGCUGGUCUGAGAGGAUGACCAUCCACACUGGAACUGGGACACGGUCCAGACUCCUACGUGAGGCAGCAGUUGGGAAUAUUGCACAAUGGGCGCAAGCCUGAUGCAGCCAUGCCGCGUUUAUGAAGAAGGCCUUCGGGUUGUAAAGUACUUUCGGCAGGGAGGCGUUACCCGCAGAAGAAGCACCGGCUAACUCCGUGCCAGCCGCCGCGGUAAUAC